ACUGGAUGAUGUGGCAACGUUCUAUUGGAUGGUCCAAAGUCCAUGUGGUAGAAUAAUUCUUACAAAUAAUUUCUUGCAUAGCUAAGUAUCUUGCUAGUUCGGUCAUGCAACACAGUAGAGGAAAUAACUGAUUGUAUGACCUUCAUAGGGAUUUGAGAUCAACGGCUUUUUUUGAGAACAUAGGUCAUCCAAGUUUUAGCGAGAGUAGGUCAUGGUAUUUUGCAGAAGUAGUUUGGAUGUGG
rnacentral:lncRNA from 1 species